rnacentral:sRNA from 1 species
GUGGCUCGCUUGUGGGCGGAGGUCUUGGAUCUCCUGGCUGCUGCUCUCUUCUGCUUUCAUCCUGCAGGUGGGACUCUCAGCUGACACCAUGAGUAGUGACACUGAAAUGGAAGUGUUUGGCAUAGCCGCUCCUUUCCUCCGGAAGUCAGAAAAGGAGCGGAUCGAGGCUCAGAACCAGCCCUUUGAUGCCAAAACGUAUUGCUUUGUGGUGGACUCAAAGGAAGAAUAUGCCAAGGGGAAAAUCAAGAGUUCUCAGGAUGGGAAGGUCACCGUGGAAACCGAGGACAACAGGACCCUGGUGGUCAAACCAGAGGAUGUGUAUGCCAUGAACCCCCCCAAGUUCGACAGGAUCGAAGACAUGGCUAUGCUGACGCACCUGAAUGAGCCAGCCGUGCUGUACAACCUGAAGGACCGUUACACAUCCUGGAUGAUCUAUGUCAGCGAGGGCUUUCGCCGUGGUUUCCCUGGGGCAUUAGAUAUGCGGGCGGGGGAGGGCCAUAGGAUUCUGGAAGAUGAGUGCUUGCCUAGCUGAUGAACAAAAGACAAAGAGGGAGGAGAAAGA